CCCACGGGUUUUUCAACCUGUGGUGGACUUGGACUUGGGCGUCUGCCUCCCCAGGCUCGCCUCAAAUGACUCAGUGGGAUCCUCGUGACCUAUGCCUGACGUAAUAAGUUUCGUCUCGGCCGGACGCUUGGGCCUGCUCACAACACCCCAUAUCUUUUGACAUUGACCUCAAAUCAGGUAGGGCUACCCGCUGAACUUAA
rnacentral:misc_RNA from 1 species